UCUAUCUCUUCCCAGCUCCACAUCCAGUGACAUCAUGGCAACAGCUUGAAAUUGGCCAUGGUGGAGAUGCUAACUGCCUCCUAACUCUGAUAAAACCUAAAGAAUUUGUUGGUGGAAGAAAGUCCUAGAGUUUUAAAAAGCAGCUGCAGAAGAGACCAGGCCGCCUACACCCCUUGGCUUGUGGCCUCUUUACUCCACCUUGACAGCCAGCAAGGUGGCCUCUCUGGCCUUGACGCCAUCCAAGACCUGACCACAUGAAGUUGAGCUUUCAGCUAUGGGGAGCCAGAAACACACCCUGCCUUGCGUGCUCAGCUUGGACUGUAACAGUACAAGCCCAGUGACAGCUGGUGCCUGGAAACCAUCUUGCUGCUGUUUCCUGUGAGUGGAGAGGAUCUUCUUCUGCAGAGGAGAGGAAACAGUGUCAUCAACUGGGGUGUGUUCCUAUGCUUCCAAGGAUCCUGGAGUCAUCUGCUGGAAGGGGAGACAGUGAACUCUGCAAGGGGAAGUUGGCUAUGUAUUUUCGUGCCCCUCAGUAGUCAAAUCCUAUGGAAACAAACAAGGCUGGUCUCUGUAGAUGGGACCUCCCACCCACGUAGGGUCAGUUUUUUCCCCAGAAUAACAGAGGGAAGGCAGGGCCAGAAACAUGGUUUGGGAGUUGCUCUCCUAGAGACCCUGGACUGUUUCAGGGCUCAUCGCCUCCUUGGUCCAAGACGCAGUAGCUGGGCCCAGUUGACAAAAGCAGCUCCAAACAAGAGGGCAUGAAGAACCAACUCGAAAGCUCCUCGGGGCCCCAGGGAAGUAGGACGGAGAGAACCUCAACCACCAAGUUCCGCAAAUUUCACAAGUUUAUUACAAACCCCAGAAGUGUUGUUGGGUUGCUUAAAAACGAUUUAAUUUUUGCAAUCUCCCGAAGAGAGCGGGUGCCCCAAAUUAAAACUGAUGUUUCAAAAAUAAUAGCUAUGAGGAUGAAAGACAGUCCUUCUCAUGGGAGGGGAGCAAGGAGGUGCACAGAGAAGCACCCUAGUGUCAAAGCUGUAGGGAGCCCUUUCUUGUGAUGUAUGAGUCUUAGGAGUCUGUUGCCAUGAUGGGGCCCAUUCUCCCGUUAUCUAACCAGAAUAGUCACCUUCUUGUGAUUCACCUAGAAAUCUGAUUCUUAUCAGAACUCUGAGCAACACAAGGGAGGAGGAGGCCUCCUGAUGUCAUGGAGAAAAGAAUGAGCUAUCGCAUCAGAUGGGCCUGGAUCUGAAUCACAGCUCAGCCACUUAUACUUACUUUGUACCCCUGACAAGUUACUUAAGUUAACUGAGCCUCCGUUACCUCAAUUGCAAAAUGAAGAUCAACAGCACUGAUCUUGCUUGGUUCCAGGGAUGCUUGGUUCCAGGGAUGAGAUGGUUGUGCUGUUAAGCAUGAAAACUGGUACCUAUGGGACCUUGACGAUAGUUGCUACUAUUACUGUUGCUUUUCAUGUCAUUAUUGCCAGCAUGAAUAUGAUCCUCAAAGUGGCCUUCCUCAUACAAUUCUCACAAGUCCAGCGGUAAAGGAAUUGAGUAUAUGAAACUUCAUACAUGUCAGAGCUCUCUUUGGAGGGUCCAGCGGUGGGGUACCAAGGUGGAGCUCCAGUUACAGCAUGUACUUCCCCAGGCACAGGGCACCGUCCUCAACAGCUGGCAUCAUUGCACCUGCAGCAUCUGCCCCUUCCCAGAGCCUCUCUCUUACGCUUUUCACAUCACUGGAGAAGCAGCUUGCAGGACCACACCGUAUUUCACUUUUACGGUGCAAAGCCAGAAGGUGCCCAAAGGAGAAGCACCUACUCCCGUGGUGAGAAGGUGGGCACAGGUGCAGCUGCGACUCACCAAGAGCCAGGCUGCCAGCCACACAGCCAGGGACACCGCAAUGGGGGAAGGGGCAGCAAGGAUGUGUCAAAGAUAUUCCUUUCCAAAUGACUUUGGUUGAAAGAAAUGCUUCCGGUUCGUAACCUGGCCUCACAUUUUAUAGCUAAAUAUGAGCCGGGUGCGUUGAUGGAGCCAUUUUUGACAUAUUUCAAUUGCACUGAUUGCCUGACAUCAUUCAAGUCACCCACGUUUCCCCAGCACAGGCCACACACUCGGGUAGAUUCAGUUAUUUUCACGAGGACAGCCUCCCCAGCCCUGCAGAAGUCAUUGUCUUUUUCUGGGCAGCCCCUGUGGAUGGAUUCAGCUGCAGUGACCAGCACACAUGGUGGUUAAUGGGAGUUCUAAGAGGGAGAGGCCAGUGAAGGUCGGGGCUCAUAUGGGAAACCAAGUCAUUUCCCACCAGGAACGUUUGGCACACUGACCCCUCACCCAGGCAGCUGAUAUGAUGGCUAAAGGGAACAACAAGUGACCACACCCACUCUUGAGAGCAACUGCAAAUUGCAUGUGGCCACGAGGGUCUCUGUAAUCUGUUUCUGUUUGCUAAAUGCCUCUCUACCGGGGGCAGUUAAGACACUCGGAGAGUGGACAAACUUGGAGGAUGUUGCUCAGUUCCAGAAAAGGAAAAAAACAUAUUACACGUACAUUGGAGGUAAAUCAGCCUGACUGGUUCUCGAGAACUCGACGAUCUCAAAUGUCCACAAAUAAUUGUGCAAAGUGGAGACCAACAGGCAGAGAAUCCAAGUAGAUAGUGACAAUAGUAAACACUGUGCUAGGCACUAUUUUAAGAGCUUUUGUAUAUUUUAAGAGCUGUUUGGCUGGGCACAGUGGCUCAUGCCUAUAAUCCCCAUACUUUGGAGGCUGAGGUGGGAGGAGUGCUUGAGGCCAGAAGUUCAAAACUAGCCUGGGAAACAGAGCAAGACCCCAUCUAUAUAAAAGCAUGUUUUAAAAAUAGCCAGGUAUGGUGGCAUGCACCUGUACUCCUAGCUACUCAGGAAGCUGAAAUAGGAAGAUUCCUUGAGCCCAGGAGGUCAAGGCUGCAGUGAGCUAGCAUCUUGCCACUGCACUCCAGCCUGGAUGACAGACUGAGACCCUGUCUCUAAAAACAAACAAACAAGAGCUUUAUGUAUAUUAAAUGUUUACAUGUAAUCCUUAUUAUAUAAGGUAAGUACUAUUAUCCCUGUUUAUGGGGCAAGUACUAUUAUUAUCCCCAUUUCACUGAUGAGGAAAUCAAGGCAAGUGAAGUCACAUCCCCAAGGUGUGACAGAGCUGGUAAGUGACACAGCUGGGAUUUGAACACUCGCUGUCUGGCUUCUGACAAGGGUCUGUGUGCUUAACCUUGAGGCUAAGUUGAAUAAAUACAGCACAUCUUGCCAAGCAAAGAAAA